AUCAAAGAAAUGGAAAUGGCGUGCAUAUUCCACUAUUGCUUUUGCCAAUGGAUGUUCACUGCUAGCCUCUGCAGAUGCCACCCAUCUGAGGAAUUCUCCACGAUUCAUUCCAGUGAAAACCUUUGCAUUUGUAACAGUGGCUUUCCCCUGGGUUAGAGUGCCCGUUUUAUCAAAUAUGACAUACUUGAUCUUCUGAGCUCUUUCCAAAGCAUCUCCUCCUUUUAUCAGUACACCGUUGUUAGCCCCAACCCCAGUUGCAACCAUGACAGCAGUUGGUGUUGCCAAGCCAAGAGCGCACGGACAUGCAAUUACCACCACUGAAAUUGAAAACAUGAGGGCAAAAACAAAGUAAUUGCCAUUUUCUGGUAGCCAAUCAUCUGGAUAAGCACCUAUAGUUCCACCAACAUACCAACCCAAAAAUGUCAACAAAGACAUAGCAACAACAGUAGGAACAAAAAUGCUCGCCACAAAAUCUGCAAAUUUCUGAAUUGG
rnacentral:misc_RNA from 1 species